rnacentral:rRNA from 1 species
GUCGAGAAUCUUUCACAAUGGGGGCAACCCUGAUGGAGCGACGCCGCGUGGAGGAUAAGGUCUUCGGAUUGUAAACUCCUGUCAUGCGUGAACAAGGUUGCUUGGUUAAUACCUGGGCAAAUUGAUGGUAACGCAAGAGGAAGAGACGGCUAACUCUGUGCCAGCAGCCGCGGUAAUACAGAGGUCUCAAGCGUUGUUCGGAAUCACUGGGCGUAAAGGGUGCGUAGGUGGCGUGGUAAGUCAGAUGUGAAAGCCCGGGGCUCAACCUCGGAACUGCAUCCGAUACUGCCAUGCUAGAGUACUGGAGAGGUGACUAGAAUUCUCGGUGUAGCAGUGAAAUGCGUAGAUAUCGAGAGGAAUACCAAAGGCGUAGGCAGGUCACUGGACAGUUACUGACACUGAGGCACGAAGGCCAGGGGAGCGAACGGGAUUAGAUACCCCUGUAGUCC